GACGAACGCUGGCGGCGUGCUUAACACAUGCAAGUCGAACGGAAAGGCCCUGCUUUUGUGGGGUGCUCGAGUGGCGAACGGGUGAGUAACACGUGAGUAACCUGCCCUUGACUUUGGGAUAACUUCAGGAAACUGGGGCUAAUACCGGAUAGGAGCUCCUGCUGCAUGGUGGGGGUUGGAAAGUUUCGGCGGUUGGGGAUGGACUCGCGGCUUAUCAGCUUGUUGGUGGGGUAGUGGCUUACCAAGGCUUUGACGGGUAGCCGGCCUGAGAGGGUGACCGGCCACAUUGGGACGGAGAUACGGCCCAGAAUCCUACGGGAGGCAGCAGUGGGGAAUAUUGCACAAUGGGCGGAAGCCUGAUGCAGCAACGCCGCGUGCGGGAUGACGGCCUUCGGGUUGUAAACCGCUUUCGCCUGUGACGAAGCGUGAGUGACGGUAAUGGGUAAAGAAGCACCGGCUAACUACGUG
rnacentral:rRNA from 1 species